CUUUUGCUGGCGACCGGCGCACGGGUGAGUAACACGUGUCAACCUGCCCUUUACUCGGGGAUAGCCUUUCGAAAGAAAGAUUAAUACCCGAUAGCAUAAUGAUUCCGCAUGGUUUCAUUAUUAAAGGAUUCCGGUAAAGGAUGGGGAUGCGUUCCAUUAGGUUGUUGGUGAGGUAACGGCUCACCAAGCCUUCGAUGGAUAGGGGUUCUGAGAGGAAGGUCCCCCACAUUGGAACUGAGACACGGUCCAA
rnacentral:rRNA from 1 species